GAAGCGAAGAGGAGACCAUGGCUUCAGCUCCAAUUCGAAACCCUAGGAAAUGGCGGUACACUUGGGAAACCCUAGCCCACAUCCCCGUACUCCGCCUCUAUCUCUUCGAUUCUCAUACCGAUCCUUCAGUUCGAUGUCGGAGCCUCGAAUCCUUUGUCCGGUUCGAGGAAUCCCUCCUCCUUGUCUCUUGGAUUGAAGACGAUGGUGAUGUUCUUCUUAGGGUUCCGUUUCCCAAGGUUUUGAUCGAUCAUAGCUGCCCCAUUGAGUCCAUUGCCAAGCACGACCAUAUCCAAAUCAAGCUCUCGCUCGUACUCCCAGUCGAUCACCCACUCAAUGCUGAUAUCAGUGGCGAUGCUCCAGAUAAGCUCCUCCCGCUAAACUUGUGUUCUGAUAUCGAGAAUAUUUCUUCCGGAAACUUGGAUUUGUUCUGCAAGAAUUGCUCUACAAAGUUAACAAGGCAGCCUGUCAGCCGCUUUGUGGAAAUGCCAUCAGUUAAUUGGCAAGAAGCAGCUGAUAAUUGGUUUGGGGGAUGCUGCUGUUCAUUCGGUGGCAUAAGUGAGAAAUUAGUCUCCGAAUAUACCAAUGCCUAUAGUUGUGUAGAGGGCACUUGUCUGGUAGAUGUUGCUUCAUUAAUUAUUUGCAAGGAUGAUCUAGAGGGGUAUACGUUUCAGCAAGUAUCAGAUGGAUUUUCAGAAUGUAGUUCCAAAAGUCAUCUUGUCACUAGUGAUGGUUUCACUGAAUUUGUGAAAGAAGUCGGUGGUGAAAAUUCUCAGGAAGAUACAUGUGAGUACAGUGAAGUUGGAGCAGAGAGUGCUUCACAUUUGGUUAAUGGGCCAUCUGAAUGUAAAGAUGACCAUUCACCUUGUGCUCUUUUAUCUUCAGCUGAUCAUGGUGUUGAAAGUCAGGAAGCUUUGUGUGUUUCUGUGGAAAUCACUAAUGUGGACCAGAAUCAGUCAAGUGAUUAUCAAGGUGCCAGCAGCAUGGAAUUUAUGAAUCUUGACUUGAGCUCAUGCACUGGGAAUAUAGAAAAGCCUUAUCCUUAUUCAUCAGCUGAUGCCUUCCCCUCGGCAGGUGAGUGCCAUUGUUUUGUUGAUAAAACACAGGAUAUGCCAAAUAAAAAUUCAAUGGUGUUGUGCUCCAAAAAGAACUCGAUGCCCAUGGAAGGCCAGGCCUGUCUGCGUAAUGGUUCUCUUGGGGGUGGUUUUCUGAUUAAAACUUCUGGCCUCUCCGCUGAUGUCGAGUGGGUUGAGUUUUCUUGCAAGGAAUGUUCAUCUCCUGUGGGUUCAUUCCCUUCCUUAAAGGACACAAAGGUUCCAGUUGAUGGUGGAAUUCGACUAUUCAAGUGCUAUGUUUCUACCGCUGUUCCUACUUGCGGACAUAAUGAUAUAUUCAGGAAACACACAAUUCAAAGAGUCUUUGCGAACUUGCUGCAUGAAACUGCUGCUGAUGAGCUUACAUUCCGUACAGUGGUGAAAGACUUAAGGACAAAAUGCCCAAUGUUGCAAAUUCUGCUAUUAAAUUCGAAAGCUUGGUCUGCCACUGGCUAUUGCUUUGAGAAUUCUACCAUGGAGCCACUUCCUGAAACAGAUAUGCAGCCUGUUGUGAAGGUGCUGUUCUCAGACUUAAAUGCCACGGCAGGAGCCAAUUCAGGAGAGAUAAAGGAUUGGUCAACUAGAAACGAUGCAGAGGAGCUACAUAUGUUGACACACCAGAUAAAGGAACUGACUGAGAGCCUGAACUCAGCACAGCGUCGAUUUCCAUCUUCAUGUUCUUAUUUGCAAGGAAUGUCUUUAUCAUACAUGGAGAGGUAGACAGAUAUACUGUAGCAUCCUGAAGCAAUCUUGUAUUUUGAAGUCACUAGACCAGACCUCAAACGGCAGCAAGCAUGAAAAGUGUCAGAAAAUCAGAAAUCGCUUAUUAAAUAGUACAAUUUGCUCAAGAGGUAACAACACUUGAAUGGAGCAUUUUACCAGAGCAAAGAUCUACCUCUUGCUUCAGUUGCAGAAUUGUCCAUGCUGACUAUUUGAUGAUACCAUGUUGCUCUUAAGACCCUUUGAUAGUAUUGUGUUGUUUAUGUUAGCAUGAUUUAACUCAUUUUUUAUAGUUUGAUUUUAGUAAAAGAAAUCAUGCAGUUGUGCAAGAGCCUGCGAGCUGAACACCCAUGUGUUGCUUAGUUGUAAAGUGCCUGUUUCUUCUUCAUCUUGUGUUAACAAAUUUAGUUUCAUUAACAAUUAACUUCGCUGGAUCCAACACUUUUUUUUAAUAAAUAAAUAAAU